AUAUACACACACACACACACACAUACUAAAAUUGGAAUGAUACAGAGAAGAUUAGCAUGGCCCCUGCACAAGGAUGACACGCAAAGUGCAAAUUCGUGAAGCGUCUUA